GCUAAUGGAUACAAAAAAUAUUCUCUCAUGUAGUCAUUUAUUGGGGUUUGGAAGCUGUUAAUUCACUUGUCUGUCAUUGGUUUCUGUGUUGCCAUAGUU